GCCCGGGUCCCCUUCCACACUGUGGAAGCUUUGUUCUUUCUCUCUUUGCAAUAAAGCUUGCUGCUGCUCACUCUUUGGGUCCACACUGCCUUUAUGAGCUGUAACACUCACCACGAAGGUCUGCAGCUUCACUCCUGAAGCCAGUGAGACCACAAACCCACCAGGAGGAACAAACUCCAGACGCACUGCCUUAAGAGCUGUAACACUCACCGUGGAGGUCUGCAGCUUCACUCCUGAGCCAGCAAGACCACGAACCCACCAGAAGGAAGAAACUCCGAACACAUCUGAACAUCAGAAGGAACAAACUCCGGACACGCCGCCUUUAAGAAAUAUAACACUCACCAUAAGGGUCUGCGGCUUCAUUCUUGAAGUCAGUGAGACCAAGAACCCACCAAUUCUGGACACAUUUUGGUGACCACGAAGGGACCAUCGCCUAUCGCCAAGCAGUGAGACUAUCGCCAAGUGGUGAGACCAUCGCCUAUCACUGAGCGGAGAGAUUAUCGCCUAUCGCCAAGCAUGUAGGGCAUGAGUUCCUGGCUGCCCCAUAAGGAAGGAAACUGCCAGAAGCCCUUUAGAAUGAAGAAAAGUGAGAAGAUUCUUGGAAAGUGGACUGAGCUUUUAACUCUGCAAGGGACCCUCAGCCCUCUUGGCAUACUGAAGUGAACACUCUGCAGCUAAGCACCACUGAAUCCAGCAGGACUUGAGACUUCAUCAUCUGCCAAAAAUGAGCUUUCCUAACAACAUGGGACCUAUUUGUCUAAAAAUAAACUGUCCUAGCCACAAGAGAUGAGACAAAACCCAAGACCACAGACUCAUUUUCUUCUAAAAUGCUCUGUCUGAAAGAUUUUAAGAAGAAAACGGGAGAGAAAUAUAAAAAGAAAAUAAAAACUUGGGACCCCAAUUCACUAUGCCAAAAGGGAAAAAAUUAAGCUGAAAGCUGAGUAAUGCAAGAAGCUGCCUUUCUUUUUGUUCCUAAGCAAAUAGCUACAGAUAAAAGGUUUAGUAUCUCCACAGGUAGCUACUCUAGGUUCACUUUAUCUUAUGUAAAGUGCUGAUUUGCAGAGCAUGAGAUGAAUACAUAGUUGACCCUUCCCCUAACCGCUCCUUUUCUCUUGCAAUAUGUGGAUUCAGUAAUGUGACCAUACCCUACCUCUUUCCCCUCCAGCCUGCUUUUCCCCAUUAAAUAUUGAAGCCCUCAAAAUAAUACUUGGAGAAAGGCAUAGACAUAUCACCCAGGUGGGUCCUUAACCUUUGCAAAAUAAACUUCUAAAUUGAUUGAGACCUGUCUCAGAUACUUUUUGGUUUACAAUAUAAUAUGAAAAGUAUUCUUUAAUCUGCAUGCAUGGAAAACUAUUCAUACUGGAAAAUAAAAUGUUACCUAACAUAUUUUAAUUAAAAAAAAAUUGCAACCACCUCAAAAUUGAAGAAGUAAAAACUCACAAACAAC
rnacentral:lncRNA from 1 species